rnacentral:rRNA from 1 species
AAUCAACGCUGGCGGCGUGCCUCAGACAUGCAAGUCGAACGCGAAAGUCUCCUUCGGGGGACAAGUAGAGUGGCGCACGGGUGAGUAACACGUAGGUAAUCUACCUUCGGAUGGGGAAUAACAACCGGAAACGGUUGCUAAUACCGCAUAAUGCAGCGGCACCUAAUGGUGACAGUUGUUAAAGCGGGGGAUCGAAAGACCUCGCGUCUGAAGAGGAGCCUGCGGCGGAUUAGCAGUUGGUAGGGUAACGGCCUACCAAGGCGACGAUCCGUAGCCGGCCUGAGAGGGCGGUCGGCCACACUGACACUGACAUACGGGUCAGACUCCUACGGGAGGCAGCAGUCGGGAAUUUUGGGCAAUGGGCGAAAGCCU